GCAGUCGAGCGGUAGAGAGAAGCUUGCUUCUCUUGAGAGCGGCGGACGGGUGAGUAAUGCCUAGGAAUCUGCCUGGUAGUGGGGGAUAACGUCCGGAAACGGACGCUAAUACCGCAUACGUCCUACGGGAGAAAGCAGGGGACCUUCGGGCCUUGCGCUAUCAGAUGAGCCUAGGUCGGAUUAGCUAGUUGGUGGGGUAAUGGCUCACCAAGGCGACGAUCCGUAACUGGUCUGAGAGGAUGAUCAGUCACACUGGAACUGAGACACGGUCCAGACUCCUACGGGAGGCAGCAGUGGGGAAUAUUGGACAAUGGGCGAAAGCCUGAUCCAGCCAUGCCGCGUGUGUGAAGAAGGUCUUCGGAUUGUAAAGCACUUUAAGUUGGGAGGAAGGGCAGUAAAUUAAUACUUUGCUGUUUUGACGUUACCGACAGAAUAAGCACCGGCUAACUCUGUGCCAGCAGCCGCGGUAAUACAGAGGGUGCAAGCGUUAAUCGGAAUUACUGGGCGUAAAGCGCGCGUA
rnacentral:rRNA from 1 species